ensembl:lncRNA LINC01341 long intergenic non-protein coding RNA 1341
GCUGCCCUCUUGCCGUGUUCAUGCUUUGGUAGAACACCUUCAGAGCCUUGGCAAGCUCUCGGUCAGAGCCGGCUUGCUGUGUGCACAUUUGGCUCAUCUCCCCGGCGGAUGGCAGUUGCGCAGUCAUCCCGCUGAUCUUCAGAGUGUUGGAAGGCUUCGGGGCUGAGGUGGAAAAAGGAUGUGGCCUUCACCUGUGACCAUGAGGCCCAGCUGAGAGCAGCUCAGCUCGGUGCAGCCUUCUGUAAUGGGGAGAGACACAGUCAAAGAAAGAAACAUCCCAGUCGCCCAGCUCCAGUGUCAGCUUCAUGCAGUAGGCCAGCGACUGGAGCCAGAUGUGAGCUGAGCCCAAGCGGACGACCUCGACAGGAUCCCAGAAAGGGUCGUCAUCUCGAGCCACAGGGCCGUGAUCUCCAUCUAGAAAGCGCUGGGGUCCACACCCAGUGCACAGCAGAUCCAGGACAACAGCCUGCCGCUGUCUUCCUCCUCACUGGGUGAGGACAGGG